rnacentral:rRNA from 1 species
UACGUAGGGUGCAAGCGUUAAUCGGAAUUACUGGGCGUAAAGCGUGCGCAGGCGGUUCGGCAAGAAAGGUGUGAAAUCCCAGGGCUUAACCUUGGAAUGGCACUUUUGACUGCCGAGCUAGAGUAUGUCAGAGGGGGGUAGAAUUCCAUGUGUAGCAGUGAAAUGCGUAGAGAUGUGGAGGAAUACCGAUGGCGAAGGCAGCCCCCUGGGAUAAUACUGACGCUCAGGCACGAAAGCGUGGGGAGCAAACAGG